AUUCAAAUAGUUUAAUAAAAAUAUUGAUUUGUGGAAUCAAAGAUAUAAAGUAUAUUUUGAAUA
rnacentral:tRNA from 1 species